UACGUAGGGUGCGAGCGUUGUCCGGAAUUACUGGGCGUAAAGAGCUCGUAGGUGGUUUGUCGCGUUGUUCGUGAAAACUCACAGCUUAACUGUGGGCGUGCGGGCGAUACGGGCAGACUGGAGUACUGCAGGGGAGACUGGAAUUCCUGGUGUAGCGGUGGAAUGCGCAGAUAUCAGGAGGAACACCGGUGGCGAAGGCGGGUCUCUGGGCCGAUACUGACGUUGAGGAGCGAAAGCGUGGGGAGCGAACAGG
rnacentral:rRNA from 1 species